UACAGAGGGGGCAAGCGUUAUUCGGAAUUAUUGGGCGUAAAGGGCGCGUAGGCGGCCUGGCAAGUGGAAGGUGAAAUCCCUCGGCUUAACCGAGGAACUGCCCUCCAAACUGCUUGGCUUGAGUCCGGGAGAGGUGAGUGGAAUUCCCAGUGUAGCGGUGAAUGCGUAGAUAUUGGGAGGAACACCAGUGGCGAAGGCGGGCUCACUGGACCGGAACUGACGCUGAGGCGCGAAAGCGUGGGGAGCAACGG
rnacentral:rRNA from 1 species